rnacentral:rRNA from 1 species
AAUGAACGCUGGCGGCGUGCCUAACACAUGCCAGUCGGAUGUGCCGCAAGGUGCAUGGCAGACGGGUGAGUAACGCGUAGGGAAUCUACCUUUUUGUGGGGAAUAACGCUCCGAAAGGAGUGGUAAUACCGCAUGAGACCGUGAGCUGGGAUGUUCACGGUGAAACCUGGGGACCGCAAGGCCUGGGGCAAAAAGAGGAUCCUGCGUCUGAUUAGCUAGUUGGCGGGGUAAUGGCCACCAAGGCGACGAUCAGUAGCCGGCCUGAGAGGGUGAUCGGCCACACUGGAACUGAGACACGGUCCAGACUCCUACGGGAGGCAGCAGUGGGGAAUUUUGCGCAAUGGACGAAAGUCUGACGCAGCAACGCCGCGUGGGUGAUGAAGGUCUUCGGACUGUAAAACCCUGUCGUCAGGGACGAAGGUGGCAGUGUUAAUAGCGCUGUUACUUGACGGUACCUGGAGAGGAAGCCCCGGCUAACUCUGUG